UACGGAGGGUGCAAGCGUUAUCCGGAAUUACUGGGUUUAAAGGGUGCGUAGGCGGAUAUAUAAGUCAGUUGUGAAAGGUCUCGGCUAAACUGAGGAAUUGCAAUUGAAACUGUAUGUCUUGAAUGGGGCUGAGGUUAGCGGAAUGAGUCAUGUAGCGGUGAAAUGCAUAGAUAUGACUUAGAGCACCAAUUGCGAAGGCAGCUAACUAGACCUCUAUUGACGCUGAGGCACGAAAGCGUGGGUAGCGAAC
rnacentral:rRNA from 1 species